UAAGGAAUAUUGGUCAAUGGACGAAAGUCUGAACCAGCCAUGCCGCGUGAAGGAUGACGGCCCUCUGGGUUGUAAACUUCUUUUAUCUGGUACGAAAAAAGAUCAUUCCUGAUCACUUGACGGUACCAGAGGAAUAAGCACCGGCUAACUCCGUGCCAGCAGCCGCGGUAAUACGGAGGGUGCAAGCGUUAUCCGGAUUUACUGGGUUUAAAGGGUGCGUAGGCGGACUUUUAAGUCAGUGGUGAAAGCUUGCAGCUUAACUGUAAAAUUGCCAUUGAAACUGAAAGUCUCGAGUGUGGUUGAGGUAACUGGAAUAUAUCAUGUAGCGGUGAAAUGCUUAGAUAUGACAUAGAACACCGAUUGCGAAGGCAGCUCACUACGGAUGUAUUGACACUGAUGCACGAAAGCGUGGGGAUCAAACA
rnacentral:rRNA from 1 species